rnacentral:rRNA from 1 species
UACGUAGGGUGCAAGCGUUGUCCGGAAUUAUUGGGCGUAAAGAGCUUGUAGGCGGUUUGUCGCGUCUGCUGUGAAAUUUCGGGGCUCAACCCCGAACUUGCAGUGGGUACGGGCAGACUAGAGUGUGGUAGGGGAGACUGGAAUUCCUGGUGUAGCGGUGAAAUGCGCAGAUAUCAGGAGGAACACCGAUGGCGAAGGCAGGUCUCUGGGACAUAACUGACGCUGAGAAGCGAAAGCAUGGGGAGCGAACAGG